rnacentral:rRNA from 1 species
UACGUAGGGUGCAAGCGUUAAUCGGAAUUACUGGGCGUAAAGAGCGUGUAGGCGGUUUGGUAGGUCCGCUGUGAAAACUCGAGGCUCAACCUCGAGACGCCGGUGGAAACCAUCAGACUAGAGUCCGGAAGAGGAGAGUGGAAUUCCUGGUGUAGCGGUGAAAUGCGCAGAUAUCAGGAAGAACACCCGUGGCUAAGGCGGCUCUCUAGUACGGUACUGACGCUGAGACGCGAAAGCGUGGGGAGCGAACAGG